GGAGCACAAGGUAGCAUUUUCACAGAAAAGUAUAGCCUUCAGGAGUCUACCAAUGGUUAAACAAGUCAAUAGUGAGCGAAUGAAGCCAGUCUCGCUCCCAACAGGGGUCUGUAAGCUGAAAACCCCAUAUGUAAGUUUUGGCCGCGCGGUCCGCUCUCAGGUGUCGUGACGAAUCGAGAUUGCUUUACGUCACUUAGCCAGGCCCCUCUCUGCCAGGCUAGUUAUUAGCUAGUUUCGUAGCCUGCUAGCUGCUACUACCGGCAGUCACUCGCGUCUGGGGAGCGGUGAAGAGUGUUUGGGUCAUGGCCGAGCCACCAAGGAAGACACCGAGAACAGAGGAGCAAAGACAGAGGAAGAGGGUACGAGGCAAAGAAAGGGGUCGCACCCGUGUGAACAUUGGGAAGGCAUUUUCUGAAUGGAGAGAGUUGAUGGCUAAAGAGGGACACAGAUCCGACGCAGAACUGGCAGCCAUGCUCUUGAACUUGUUGGAGCAAACCACAAAGAUGUUGUUCCAUGGAUCAAGGACAUUGUGAACCACUUUUGGUAUUGCAGCAGGCACGCCAACACCGUGGAUGUGUUCUUGACAAUGUGGCGUGGUGUUGUAUGCCAUGUGGUGAACAAGCACUCCUGGCUUGGAGGAAGAUGUGAUCAUCUCCCACUGGAUGAAGGCAGCCAGAAUAAGCCCUGGCUCAGAAAAGGUGGAGCUGAUCACGAGGCACUCAUCCAAGUUGUGCUGGACAAAAGAUGGCUGGACCAGGUGAAGAAGUUCCUAAACUUCCGGACCACCUCUGACUUGGAGAACUUCCAAAACCACAUACUGAUGUAUGCUUCCAAGUGCAUGUCGUACACGCCUUUUGUCUACAAGACCCGGAC